UUCCCCAUCCUUCCCAAAAUCCUCCUCCCUCCCAUAAUUCUCAUUCCCUCGUAACUUUGAAAGAAAAAAAAAGAAGAUAACCCUAGCCCGUUUCUUUCUUCUUCUUCUUCUUCUUCUUCUUCCGAGCUCACUUUCCUUCCUCCCAGCCUCCACCAUCGCCGAAGGCAGAAACCCCCACUCUAUUCACUGCGUAUCUCAACUCAGUCUCUCUUCACUGUGUGCGCCGUGGCUGCUUCUUUGCUCCUGGUCAUGGGUCGUCGUUGCUCCGCUUCUUGCUGUGGGUCGUCGCUGCUUCUUUGCCUCCUCGCCAGGCUUGUUGUUGCUUCCCUUCUUUCGCGUCGUUGCUGUUGCUUUCCGGCUUCACUGCUGGGUGGUCUCUGCUCCUCUGAUUUUAGUUGAAAAACUAUAAUGCAAGUAGCUGCUGUACAAAUUGAAGGGGAAGUCAUGAUGAUAGACAUAGGGAAUAAGAAGGAAAGGAAGAAGGUGAGGGAAGUGGAAAUUCUUAAGAAAGAUCCUGAACAGCUGAAGAAACAGAUUGAGAACUUGGAAAUGAUGAGAAUAUGAAGAUAAAAUGAAGGAGAAGGGUGAGACCCUGUUAUGUUCAGGUGAGGGAUUUCUCCAUUGCUUAAAAGCAACCUUUUAACCCACUUUUUUCGUUGUUAGUUUAUACAUUCUAGAAUGCCUUUUCGACAUAAGAUGAACAUUACAAGAGAAAGCAUAAUGCUAGGGGGCUAAUUCUUCAUAUAAAUUUCGUCGCAUCCUUCUGUUUUCUUUUUUUUUCCUUCUUUCUUUUUAAAUUUGUUAACACUUUGUUGGGGGGUCAAAAAACAUUAGUGUCACUUUGUGCUUUGCAUUACUGGAACCUUGAAUGUAAUAAAAUCGAAGCGGACAUGGAAAGUAAAGACUUUCACCAAAGGCUUGGAAUUCUUCAAGAUAGUAGCUGACCUUGCUCUGAAAGUGAAGUUUCAGGUGAAAAACAUUACAAGAUGAGCGAACAAAUUAGAGAAGAAUUUUUUUUGGUUUUCAAAGGAUGAGAAGAAUAUGUACUAUAUUAGAGAAUAUUUUUGUUUUCACAGUAUAAUAUUUUGAUGUCUUUUGUAAUUUUUUUAAUAGCUUCUACCUGGUAUUACAUGUAAUGGAUAAAUUAUACCAUA